UGUGGCUCUAUGGUAGAGCACUUGCCUAGCAUGUGUGAGGCCCUGAGUUCAAUUCUCAGCA
rnacentral:tRNA from 1 species